AACGAACGCUGGCGGCAUGCCUAACACAUGCAAGUCGAACGAGACCUUCGGGUCUAGUGGCGCACGGGUGCGUAACGCGUGGGAACCUGCCCUUAGGUUCGGAAUAACUCCCCGAAAGGGGUGCUAAUACCGGAUAAUGUCUUCGGACCAAAGAUUUAUCGCCUUUGGAUGGGCCCGCGUUGGAUUCGCUAGUUGGUAGGGUAAAAGCCUACCAAGGCGACGAUCCAUAGCUGGUCUGAGAGGAUGGUCAGCCACACUGGGACUGAGACACGGCCCAGACUCCUACGGGAGGCAGCAGUGGGUAAUAUUGGACAAUGGGCUAAAGCCUGAUCCAGCAAUGCCGCGUGAGUGAUGAAGGCCUUAGGGUUGUAAAGCUCUUUUACCCGGGAUGAUAAUGACAGUACCGGGAGAAUAAGCUCCGGCUAACUCCGUG
rnacentral:rRNA from 1 species